GCUCUCGUAACUCAGCAGGUAGAGUACUUCCUUGGUAAGGAAGAAGUCGGCAGUUCGAGUCUGCUCGAGAGCU
rnacentral:tRNA from 1 species